UACGUAGGGCGCAAGCGUUGUCCGGAAUUAUUGGGCGUAAAGAGCUCGUAGGCGGCUUGUCGCGUCGACUGUGAAAGCCCGCGGCUCAACCGCGGGUCUGCAGUCGAUACGGGCAGGCUAGAGUUCGGUAGGGGAGACUGGAAUUCCUGGUGUAGCGGUGAAAUGCGCAGAUAUCAGGAGGAACACCGAUGGCGAAGGCAGGUCUCUGGGCCGAUACUGACGCUGAGGAGCGAAAGCGUGGGGAGCGAACAGG
rnacentral:rRNA from 1 species